GGGAGGCAGCAGUGGGGAAUAUUGGACAAUGGGCGAAAGCCUGAUCCAGCCAUGCCGCGUGUGUGAAGAAGGCCUUUUGGUUGUAAAGCACUUUAAGCGAGGAGGAGGCUACUUAGAUUAAUACUCUAGGAUAGUGGACGUUACUCGCAGAAUAAGCACCGGCUAACUCUGUGCCAGCAGCCGCGGUAAUACAGAGGGNGNGAGCGUUAAUNGGAUUUACUGGGCGUAAAGCGUGNGUAGGCGGCUUUUUAAGUCGGAUGUGAAAUCCCUGAGCUUAACUUAGGAAUUGCAUUCGAUACUGGGAAGCUAGAGUAUGGGAGAGGAUGGUAGAAUUCCAGGUGUAGCGGUGAAAUGCGUAGAGAUCUGGAGGAAUACCGAUGGCGAAGGCAGCCAUCUGGCGUAAUACUGACGCUGAGGUGCGAAAGCAUGGGGAGCAAACAGGANUAGAUACCCUGGUAGU
rnacentral:rRNA from 1 species